GUAAUAGGAAAUUAUAAUUUUGUUAAAGGUCCCAGUGGCAUGGUGCUCUUUUACUAAUUUCAUAUAGACCUUAGUGGUCCCCUAAUACUGUAUCUGAAGUCUCUUUUAUAUAGACCUU